ACAUCUUCGAUCGUGCUUCUUCUCCCCCAACAUUGCGCUUCCUCCCUCUCCUUCUGCAUCCACCAAGAGCUUUGAUGAUCUCCACUCUUCCACCAUCAACCAGAGCUCCAUUCUAUAUUCUCCACCACACCCACUCCUAAUUAAAAGAGGUCCUGAUGCCCUUCUUCAUCACCUCUUUCUAUGCCAAUUGAGAGAGGUUUCUUCACUAAUACCAGUCGCUGGAUCUCACAUAGCCACCUCCAUUGGAGUUCCCCCUCGAGUUCGAUAGCAUCUCCUCUGUCCUUUAUCUGGGCAGCAUUCUCUAACAUUUUCAAACAUUUUUUAGCCACAAUCACCCUUCAUUCCCUAGCAUCUCCAAUCAACCUGUAACACAUCAGAUCUGAGGUUUCAAUAGUAGCAAUUCAACACUUCCAAAUCCGGAUUGGGAUUGAGCUCAAGUUGAACCAAAAUGAACAUAAAGGCUUGAGUUAAUGAGAAGUCCAAUCUGAAGAAAUCUGAGCCAUUGGAUCAAAUCGGAAGCAAAUUAAAUGAAAGAUUCAGAUCUGAUUAAUUCUAUCCGUUCAUCAAGAUCUGAUUGAUUCUGGUCAAUCUGUGUAGAUCUGGAAUGAUCUAAGCCGCUCGUCUUGUUCUAGCCAUCCUGACCAUUUAAUGGGUUCUAGUUGAUCUCGACCAUUUAUUCAGAUUUGAUCUCAACCGUUCCAUCAAAUCUAGAUUGAUCAGGACCGUCCGAUCAAAUCUGGAGAAAUAAAAUCCCCAAAGCUUUCUCUCAUUCCGUUUGGCAACAACCUGAUCAUUGUGCGUGUUUCUUCCUCGCGACAGAGCUAGGGCACCGACGGCCGGCGGCCACUUCUCCUGAUUCACUGUCGCCGGCCGGAGCUUGUCCCUCACCUCCCGCGGUCAUCUCCUAUCCACAGCCACACUUCCUCUUCGGGAUUUCCAGCGGCGUGCGGGCUAGGGCAGCAACGACGGCCAGCCAUUCCAGGCGGAAAGCUUCGGCUCCGAUCAUCCACCUCACCGGAGGGGUUCUCCAGUGAUAUUCUUCACCUUCUGGCCAUCCCUGCCCUUUUCCCAGCAGCAGCUCUUCUCCAACAGACCUGGACAGAACCUCACAGCUCCGCCUUCAUCAGAUCCCGAACAACAACCUCUUCGUUCCACCAAGUCCGAACAGCAAGUUUAUUCUCCUAUUGUUGAUACUGUGGUUUGCAUGGUUGAAGAUUUGAUGUUCUUCAUAACAUUGUUGUUGCAGAAUACUUUCACUAGAAUAUGCUAUGUGAUUCAAUAACUCCUAUUUUUCCACUGGACUGUUAAUCUCUUUUUGAUUUUGUGGAUAACUUUGCUGCAAACUAUGCUCUGAAGAGAGUUUAUUAUGUCAACUAUGCAUUGGGGAUAUCUGGACGCAGGAAACCUUGCUGGCAUCUAUUAUGAACAAAGUCAACUUGACAUGGCAAUUAUGCAUUACAAGCAAGCUAUCAACUGUGAUUCUACCUUUAUUGAAGCUUACAAUAAUCUGGGGAAUGCUCUCAAAGACGUUGGACAUGUGGAAGAGGCUAUCAACUUCUAUAGGUCAUGCCUUGCUUUACAACCUAACCAUCCACAAGCAUUGUCAAGCCUUGGCAACAUAUACAUGGACUGCAACAUGAUGAGUGUUGCUGCAUCAUUCUAUAAGGCAACUUUAGCAGUUACAACAGGGAUAUCUGCGCCCUUCAACAACUUAGCUAUUAUAUACAAGUAACAGGGAACUUAUGCAGAAGCGAUAGCCUGUUAUAAUGAAGUUCUUCAUAGACUGCUGCUGAUGGUCUUGUCAAUAGAGGGAACACAUUUAAGGAGAUUGGUAGAGUUACUGAAGCAAUUUAGGAUUAUAUACGUGCUGUGAAUAUCAGACCAACUAUGCCUGAAGCCCAUGCAAAUUUGGCUUCAGCUUACACAGAUAGUUUACAAAUCUCAAGUACUCCAGAGUUGAAAUUGAUGAAGUGCGGUUCGAGUGGGCUGAA